rnacentral:rRNA from 1 species
GUGCCAGCCGCCGCGGUAAUACGUAGGGGACGAGCGUUGUCCGGAAUUACUGGGCGUAAAGGGCGCGCAGGCUGCGCGUCGAGUCGGCUGUCAAAGAUCCGGGCUUAACCCGGUGAAGCGGUCGAGACCGACGAGCUGGAGUGCUGCAGAGGCAAGUGGAAUUCCCGGUGUAGCGGUGAAAUGCGUAGAUAUCGGGAAGAACACCGGUGGCGAAGGCGACUUGCUGGGCAGCAACUGACGCUGAGGCGCG